rnacentral:rRNA from 1 species
GUGCAGCAGGCGCGAAACCUCCGCAAUGCACGCAAGUGCGACGGGGGAACCCCAAGUGCCACUCUUAACGGGGUGGCUUUUCAGAAGUGUAAAAAGCUUCUGGAAUAAGAGCUGGGCAAGACCGGUGCCAGCCGCCGCGGUAACACCGGCAGCUCAAGUGGUAGCCGCUUUUAUUGGGCCUAAAGCGUCCGUAGCCGGUCUGAUAAGUCUCUGGUGAAAUCCCACAGCUUAACUGUGGGAAUUGCUGGAGAUACUAUCAUGACUCGGGGUCGGGAGAGGCUGGAGGUACUCCCAGGGUAGGGGUGAAAUCCUGUAAUCCUGGGAGGACCACCUGUGGCGAAGGCGUCCAGCUGGAACGAACCUGACGGUGAGGGACGAAAGCCAGGGGCGCGAACCGGAUUAGAUACCCGGGUAGUCC